AUGGCGGAGGUGGCGCUGGCUGUGGCUGGUGCACGGGCUGGCUUACAGUUGGUGGUAUCACCGAUCUUGAAGAAGCUCCUAGCUGACCCUGCAAGGUGCCUUGGUGUGGACAUGGUGAGUGAGCUCCAUGAACUGGAGACCAACAUCAUGCCACAGUUCGCUCUACUGGUUGAGGCAGCUAACAAGAGCCCUCACAGGCCAAUGUUGAACAACUGGAUCCAGCAGCUCAAAGACGCCUUCUGUAAAGCUGAGGACCUGCUAGAUGAGCAUGAGUACAACAUCCUCAAGCGCGAAGCAGAGAGUGGGAAGGAUUCUUUGAUAGAACAUGCAUCUUCCAGUAAUGCUAUUAUGAAGCAUGUGCAUACUGUGUCGAGCAGGCUGUCCAAUCUGUGCCCAAAGAACAAACAGCUGCUUGACCAGCUGAAGGAACUGAAGGCCAUCCUUGCGAAAGCCAGGGGCCUCCGUGAACUGCUUUGCUUACCUGCUGGUAAUAGUGUUGAGGCCUUCCCAGCACCGGCAUCUGCUAUUCCAGUUGAUACAUCAUUUGCACCACUAAAAGUGAUCGGCCGUGACAAGGAUCGCAAUGAUAUUAUAGAUCUUCUUACCAAGCCAAUUGAUGUUGAGUGUGAUACAAGCAGGUAUUCUGGUGUAGCCAUUGUUGGACUUGGAGGCAUGGGAAAAUCCACUUUGGCACGACAUGUUUGUAAUGACAAGAGGGUAAAAGAACACUUUGAGGUCAGGAUGUGGGUCUGCAUCUCACGCAAACUUGAUGUCUGUGGCCAUACACGGUUGAUUAUUGAAUCAGCAAAAGGAGGGCAGUGCCCACCCAUUGAUAAUCUUGAUACUCUCCAGUGCAUAUUAAGGGACAUACUGGAGAGUAAAAAAAGAUUCCUGCUUGUGUUAGACGAUGUCUGGUUUGAAGAAAGCACCAACGAGGUGGAGUGGGAAAAACUAUUGUCUCCUCUAGUAUGCCAACAGACGGGAAGCAAAAUUUUGGUAACUUCUCGAUCAAAUGACCAUGCAUUUUCUGGUGCAGCAAUCGGGGACCAGAGGGUGCGUGACCAGCUAGAGACUAUUGCAGAAAAGCUUGCUAAAAGACUUGGAAGAUCUCCUCUAGCAGCAAAAACAGUGGGUUCACGGCUGAGCAGGAAAAAGGAUAAGGCUGCAUGGGAAGAUGCUCUAAGGACUGACAGCUUAAGCGACCCCAGUAGAGCACUUCUAUGGAGCUAUGAGAAGUUAGAUCCAAGUCUUCAGAGGUGUUUUCUAUAUUGUAGUUUAUAUCCAAAAGGCCACUCCUAUUUCAUUGAUGAUUUGGUUCGCAUGUGGGUAGCAGAGGGACUAAUUGAAUCCUGCAAUGUGAACAAGAGAAUUGAAGAUAUUGGGAGGGACUGCUUUGAUGAGAUGCUCUCAGUUUCAUUCCUUCAACCACUUUACACAUCCACAGGUGGCAUAUCUCCGUACUACUGUGUUAUGCAUGAUCUGGUUCAUGAUUUGGCAGAGUUACUGUCUGAAAAUGUCUGCUUUAGGUUAGAAGAUGAUAAGGUGGCAAAAAUACCACACACUGUUCGACAUCUAUCUAUCUGUGUUAGGACUUUGAAGCAACAUCAACACUCUAUUUGCGGGCUACAUAAUUUACGUAGCUUUGUUUGCAUUAAACCACUUACAGAUGAUGCAAGAGAUAUUUUCCAGCAGGUGUUGCAGAAUUUAAAGAAGUUGCGUGUACUCUAUUUGAGCUUUUACAACAGCAGCAAGGUACCUGAAUCUGUUGGUGAACUGAAACACCUUCGGUACUUGGACCUCAGAGGUACUUCAAUCUCUGAAUUGCCUGGAUCAUUGUGUGCUCUUUAUCACAUGCAAUUACUUAAGUUCAGUAGGAAUGUCAAAAAAAUUCCUGAAAAACUAUUCAGGUUAAAUAAGUUGAGAUAUCUUGAGGAUUGUGGCCAAAUCCCUUACAUAGGCAAGUUAACUUCACUCCAAUGUCUCAACCAAUUUUGCGUGCAAAAGCAGAUGGGCCAUGAGGUGCAGCAGCUGAAGGACAUGAACCACCUUGGAGGCAGUUUAAGUAUCCAAAAUCUCGAGAAUGUCCCCGGGAAGGAUCAAGCCUUGGAAGCAAAACUACAUCAAAAAAAUCAUCUUGAGAGCUUGCACCUUGAAUGGAGUUACAGAGCUGACAUGAGUUCACAUGAUAGUUUACAUUUGGAAAUUCUGGAAGGUCUGAUGCCACCGCCUCAAAUUAGGGGCCUUACUAUCAAAGGUUACAGAUAUGCAAAAUAUCCAGGCUGGUUACUCAGGGAUUCUUAUUUCCAGAAUUUGGAAUCACUUUCCCUGGUUAAUUGCAGCGCCAUAGAAAUCCUACCAUCCAAUCCCACUCUCCUUGGAAAUUGCUCCUCACUUUGCCUCAAGAAUAUCCCAAACCUGAAGACAUUACCUUCUCUUCCAAACAGCCUUGAAGAGUUAGCAAUUGAAAAAUGCAUGUUGAUUAUGUUUAUUUCUGAUGAUGAGCUAGAACAACAUGGCCAGAGGGACAACACCAUUAUGACAUACAACUUGAAGUCGCAGUUUUCUUCCAUGUGGGAGGUGGAUAUGGGAUCAAAUAUAAGGAAAGUACUAUUGUCGGAACAUUCAUCUCUGAAGUGGUUGAUCACUUCAAUGGAUGUUGAUAGUCCUCAUCUUCAAACUAUUGAAAGUACUCUAAAAAGAGAGGGUGAUGGUGUAUUGGAACAAGAGGAUAUCAUCAAGGCAUGGAUAUGUUGCCAUGAGGAGAGGAUACGGCUCAUUUGUACAAGGAACAUCAGCCUGCCACUGGUUCUACCAUCAGUGCUUUCUCGGCUUGACCUUUGUUCCUGCAUUAUUACGGAUGGAGCAUUAGCUGUUUUCCUUGAUGGUCUCACCUCACUGAGACGUUUAUCACUAAAAGAGAUUAUGACUUUAACUACACUUCCGUCAGAAGAUGUCCUCCAGCAGUUGACAAAGCUUCAGAACUUGUGCAUCGACUCGUGCUGGUGCCUUGGAUCAUUAGGUGGGUUACGAGCUGCUACCGGUCUUUCAGAAAUUUCAUUAUGGAGCUGCCCUUCUUUGGACUUCACAUGUGGAUCAGUUUUUUUGCCAUUGUCCCUUGAGAAGCUCUACAUACGACAUUGUGUGGUCGCAGCUGAUUUCCUCAGUAGUGACUUGCCACAACUGAAACUUAUUGACAUGGCAUUCUGCAGAAGCUCUUCAUCAUUGUCGAUUGGUCAUUCGACCUCCCUCAGAAGAUUGUCACUAGAAAAUCUACAGGACUUGUGCUUUCUUGAAGGGUUGUCUUCGCUGCAACUUGGCAGUGCAAUAUUUACACAUGUCCCAAACCUCAAUAUGAAGUGCAUCUCACAGCUGCAAGUCCAGGAUUACCUCUAUGUUAGCAGCCCCGUAAUGCUCAACCACAUGCUCUCUGCUGAAGGUUUUAAUGUUCCAAGACAUUUUGGUCUUAUAGGAUGCAAGGAGUCCUUUUCAUUUGAGGAGUCAGCAGAUUUAUCAUCUGUCAUCACCCUGUUAUUUAUGGAUUGUGAAAUCAGUUCAUUGCCAGGAAAUCUGAAGUCCUUUUCAUGCCUGACGAUGCUGCGAAUUGUAAGAUGCUCCAAUAUAUCAUCAUUACCUGAUUUGCCUUCUUCCCUCGACCAUAUAUAUGUGCGGGAUUCUGAACUCUUGAAGAAGAGCUGUCAAUCACCUCAUGGGGAAAGCUGGCCAAAGAUCGAGCAUAUCCGCUCAAAACUGUUUUAUUAA
rnacentral:rRNA from 1 species